rnacentral:rRNA from 1 species
AUUGAACGCUGGCGGCAGGCCUAACACAUGCAAGUCGAGCGGGGUUUUCGGACCUAGCGGCGGACGGGUGAGUAAUGCGUAGGAAGCUACCCGAUAGAGGGGGAUACCAGUUGGAAACGACUGUUAAUACCGCAUAAUGUCUACGGACCAAAGUGUGGGACCUUCGGGCCACAUGCUAUCGGAUGCGCCUACGUGGGAUUAGCUAGUUGGUGAGGUAAUGGCUCACCAAGGCGACGAUCUCCAGCUGGUUUGAGAGGAUGAUCAGCCACACUGGAACUGAGACACGGUCCAGACUCCUACGGGAGGCAGCAGUGGGGAAUAUUGGACAAUGGGCGCAGCCUGAUCCAGCCAUGCCGCGUGUGUGAAGAAGGCC